UAGGUGUUAAGACCAAAGUGGUAGAAGCCGAAAGAAAUGUCUUUCUAUGGUCUGUUGGCCAAUUCAGAACUUAGGAAAUGUAAUGGUCACUUCAUUAGAAAGAAAUGUCU